rnacentral:SRP_RNA from 1 species
CUGUGCUAGGCGGGGAGCUAGUGGUGCCCUAUUUCCGCAACCCACUACAGCGGAGUCGAAUACCAAUUUCGGUAUGCACUGUGUUGCAGAGGAUAACAGCGCGGCGUUGAUAACAAGGUCUUACGCAAUAAUAAACCAUGAACCAUGUCAGAGCUUGACGGCAGCAGCAUUAAGUGGUAUUUAUUAUGUGAUGUAAAAAAACUUUGUAGUAGCAAGCGGUUUAUUCGUUCACAAUGUAGCGUCGUAUCAACAAAGGUUGCACAG